rnacentral:rRNA from 1 species
CCUACGGGUGGCAGCAGUGAGGAAUAUUGGGCAAUGGACGCGAGUCUGAACCAGCAACGUAGCGUGAAGGAAGACUGCCUUAUGGGUUGUAAACUUCUUUUAUAAAGGAAUAAAACGAGGCACGUGUGCCUUUUUGCAUGUACUUUAUGAAUAAGGAUCGGCUAACUCCGUGCCAGCAGCCGCGGUAAUACGGAGGUUCCGAGCGUUAUCCGGAUUUAUUGGGUUUAAAGGGAGCGUAGAUGGGUUGUUAAGUCAGUUGUGAAAGUCUGCGGCUCAACCGGAAAAUUGCAAGUGAUACUGGGAGUCUUGAGUACAGAUGAGGUAGGUGGAAUUCGUGGUGUAGCGGUGAAAUGCGUAGAUAUCACGAAGAACUCCAAUGGCGAAGGCAGCUUACUAAACUGCCACUGACAUUGAUGCUCGAAAGUGUGGGUAGCAAACAGGAUUAGAUACCCGUGUAGUC